CCUACGGGUGGCUGCAGUCGAGAAUCUUUCGCAAUGGGGGCAACCCUGACGAAGCGACGCCGCGUGGAGGAUGAAGGUCUUCGGAUUGUAAACUCCUGUCGGCUGGGAAAAAAAGUUUUUGGUGAAUAACCAGAAGCCUUGAUGGUACCAGCAAAGGAAGCCACGGCUAACUCUGUGCCAGCAGCCGCGGUAAUACAGAGGUGGCAAGCGUUGUUCGGAUUUACUGGGCGUAAAGGGUCCGUAGGCGGUUUGGAAAGUUGAAUGUGAAAUCCCGC
rnacentral:rRNA from 1 species